CCUACGGGAGGCUGCAGUGAGGAAUAUUGGUCAAUGGGCGAGAGCCUGAACCAGCCAAGUCGCGUGAAGGAUGAAGGAUCUAUGAGUUGUAAACUGCUUUUGUACGCGGGUAAACGCAGAUACGCGUAUCUGUCUGAAAGUAUCGUACGAAUAAGGAUCGGCUAACUCCGUGCCAGCAGCCGCGGUAAUACGGAGGAUUCAAGCGUUAUCCGGAUUUAUUGGGUUUAAAGGGUGCGUAGGCGGUCGGAUAAGUUAGAGGUGAAAUCCCGAGGCUCAACUUCGGAAUUGCCGUUGAUACUGUUCGGCUAGAGUGUAGUAGCGGUAUGCGGAAUGUAUGGUGUAGCGGUGAAAUGCUUAGAGAUCAUACAGAACACCGAUUGCGAAGGCAGCUUACCAAGCUACAUCUGACGUUGAGGCACGAAAGCGUGGGGAGCAAACAGGAUUAGAUACCCGAGUAGUC
rnacentral:rRNA from 1 species